UCUGUAUAGAUACUAUAUAGAGUAUCUGUAUAGAGACUGUAUAGAGUAUCUGUAUAGAGACUGUAUAGAGUAUCUGUAUAGAUACUGUAUAGAGUAUCUGUACAGAGUAUCCGUAUAGAGUAUCUGUAUAGAUACUGUAUAGAGUAUCUGUAUAGAUCUACCAGCAGUUGUUUUUGAAGGCUGAGGGAGAACACUGUUAUACAAUUUGGUUAAAGUAUUUCCAAACAGGGAAAUGCAUAAUCAUGUGUGGAGUAGUGUCUUCGAUGUAGCCUAACUAUACUGGAGUAGUGUCCUCGAUGUAGCCUAACUAUGCUGGAGUAGUGUCUUCGAUGUAGCCUAACUAUACUGGAGUAGUGUCCUCGAUGUAGCCUAACUAUGCUGUAGUAGUGUCCUCGAUGUAGCCUAACUAUACUGGAGUAGUGUCCUCGAUGUAGCCUAACUAUGCUGUAGUAGAAAUACAGUAACUGUCAUACAGGUGUGUGGAAAUACAGUAACUGUCAUACAGGUGUGUGGAAAUACAGUAACUGUCAUAUAGGUGUGUGGAAAUACAGUAACUGUCAUAUAGGUGUGUGGAAAUACAGUAACUGUCAUACAGGUGUGUGGAAAUACAGUAACUGUCAUAUAGGUGUGUGGAAAUACAGUAACUGUCAUAUAGGUGUGUGGAAAUACAGUAA
ensembl:lncRNA